GACGUAGGGCGCGAGCGUUGUCCGGAUUUAUUGGGCGUAAAGAGCUCGUAGGCGGCUCGUUGCGUCGGCUGUGAAAACCCGCAGCUCAACUGUGGGCUUGCAGCCGAUACGGGCGGGCUAGGAUUCGGUAGGGGAGACUGGAAUUCCUGGUGUAGCGGUGAAAUGCGCAGAUAUCAGGAGGAACACCGAUGGCGAAGGCAGGUCUCUGGGCCACUACUGACGCUGAGAAGCGAAAGCGUGGGGAGCGAACAGG
rnacentral:rRNA from 1 species